GACAGAGGCCUCGAGCGUUAGGCGGAAUCACUGGGCUUAAAGCGUGUGUAGGCGGAAGAGUAAGUACCUUGUGAAAUCCCACGGCUCACCCGUGGAACCGCUGGGUAUACUGCUCUUCUUGGGCCACUCAGGGGCGACUGGAACAAGCGGUGGAGGCGGUGAAAUGCGUAGAUAUCGCUUGGAACGCCGAAGGUGAAACAGGUCGCUGGGAGUGACGCCGACGCUGAGACACGAAAGCCAGGGGAGCAAACGGG
rnacentral:rRNA from 1 species